UACCAGCACCCCGAGUGGUCGGGACGUUUAUUGGGCCUAAAGCAUCCGUAGCCGGUUCUACAAGUCUUCCGUUAAAUCCAGCUGCUUAACAGAUGGGCUGCGGAAGAUACUAUGGAGCUAGGAGGCGGGAGAGGCAAGCGGUACUCAGUGGGUAGGGGUAAAAUCCUUUGAUCCAUUGAAGACCACCAGUGGCGAAGGCGGCUUGCCAGAACGCGCUCGACGGUGAGGGAUGAAAGCUGGGGGAGCAAACCGG
rnacentral:rRNA from 1 species